rnacentral:sRNA from 1 species
GCCAGGCAUGGUGGCGCAUGCCUGUAAUCCCAGUGGCUCAGGAGGCUGAGAUAGGAGGAUCAUGAAUUGAAAGCCAGCCUCAGCAAAAGCGAGGUGCUAAGCAACUCAGUGAGACUCUGUCUCUA